UCGGGAAUAUUGCCCAAUGGUCGAAAGACUGAGGCAGCAACGCCGCGUGCGCGAUGAAGGCCUUCGGGUCGUAAAGCGCUUUUCGGGUGGAUGAGGAAGGACAGUACACCCGGAAUAAGGAACGGCUAACUACGUGCCAGCAGCCGCGGUAAAACGUAGGUUCCGAGCGUUAUCCGGAUUUACUGGGCGUAAAGCGCGUUCAGGCGGUUUGGCAAGUCGGGCAUGAAAUCUCUCGGCUCAACCGGGAGAGGUUGUCCGAUACUGCUGGACUUGAGGGCAGUAGAGGGUGGUGGAAUUCCGGGUGUAGUGGUGAAAUGCGUAGAUAUCCGGAGGAACACCAGUGGCGAAAGCGGCCACCUGGACUGCACCUGACGCUGACACGCGAAAGCUAGGGGAGCGAACGG
rnacentral:rRNA from 1 species